CCUACAUGAAGUCGGAAUUGCUAGUAAUCGCGGAUCAGCAUGCCGCGGUGAAUACGUUCCCGGGCCUUGUACACACCGCCCGUCACACCAUGGGAGUCGGUAACACCCGAAGCCUGUAGUCUAACCGCAAGGAGGACGCAGUCGAAGGUGGGAUUGAUGACUGGGGUGAAGUCGUAACAAGGUAAC
rnacentral:rRNA from 1 species